AUGCCAGUAGAAUGACUUCUGCUUAACCUUUUAAAUGUUACGCAGAAAUGUAAAAUAAUUCUGGCAACAAUAAAGCCAGGGUACGAGCCUUGAAGACUCAGUAGUCAUUGAGGUCCCAGUAAAUGGCUACACCA